UAUAGCCUCGUUGUGACAAAAUCCAUGUGCUCAUUUUUCUCUCAUUCAACAUGGCAGAUGUUAACAUUGAUUCUCUGAAGAUUUGUGCUCAACAGGCGUAAUAGCAAGUUCUCCAUACACUGCACAACAUCUGAAGCAGCUGUGGCAACUUUGGUACCCUGACUGAAAGCAAAGAGAAGCAAGUUUUGAAAAUAUUAAUUAAUUUUUCUGUCUGGCACUGCAUCAUCAUAUGUCUGAAAAGAGAUAAAUUUUAUUCAAAUUUCAGAAACAAUAAACAGCAGUUGCAAAAGGAAGAAUGGAGCUACGAACAAAAUAUCCUGAAGCAUAAUGAUAAACAUAUUUUGCAUGUUAACCCUUUUGAUACCAGUGUGCCCAAAACUGCCUAUGGUUUUUAUGAUACAAAUUUCAUGUUAAUUUAUCUUUCAAAGACUUGAUUAAUAAUGGCAAAGUUAUUUUACUUCUUUACUUUCAAAAUUAAUUGAAAUAAACUCAGUGUAUUCCAACUAAA